GGAAUGGGAAGCGAAGCCCCAAGAUGGGCGGAGGGGAGCAGGUGCGGGGGGCAUGGAAGAGAGCCCACAAGCAGGUGGGACAGCAAGGUGGCUCCCGUCUCCUGGUAGGACAUUUUAGCAAUCACACGUGCUGCCUUGUGUCCCUUAAGGAGAGGACUCUACUGGCCACAGCCCCACCUCUGUGAACCAGAACAGCCUGAGUCGUCACUGGAUCCUGCUGCUGACAGUGCUGGUAGCUGAAGGCUUCAGCAGCUGCCUGGCCUCUUUUCCAUCUCCUGGCCUACCCUGGCAGAACCAGGGAUAUAAAACGCAAGCUUCUGGUCAGAGAUGAGAGGCAAGCAGAGCAAGCCAGGCCCCGAGCCACCCAGCACCAUCCAGAAAGAAGGAGCAGCCUGCUGGGGGUUUUGUUUUGCCAGAAGUGGCCUGCUUAAGCCCAAUCCUGUCCCGCCCAGGGGACGCAGCCUGGUGGACCCAAUGUGACCAGAACAGCUUCUAUCAUUGGGAGCCUCUGGACUGCUUCUCUCCUCAAAGCUCCUGGUCCUCAUGCCAGAAAAGAGAAGCCAAGAGGAAGAAUUUUAGGGGAGCACCCGGACGCAUCAACAGAAGAAGAGAGGCAGGGAGAGCUGCUAAAUAAAGCCCAUGCAUGCAUUUUCUCACCCGUAGCCAGAAUAAAAGCAAGGAAAGCA